rnacentral:rRNA from 1 species
UACAGAGGGGGCAAGCGUUGUUCGGAAUUACUGGGCGUAAAGGGCGCGUAGGCGGCCAUCUAAGUCAGACGUGAAAUCCCCCGGCUUAACCUGGGAACUGCGUCUGAUACUGGAAGGCUUGAGUAUGGGAGAGGGAUGUAGAAUUCCAGGUGUAGCGGUGAAAUGCGUAGAUAUCUGGAGGAAUACCGGUGGCGAAGGCGGCAUCCUGGACCAUUACUGACGCUGAGGCGCGAAAGCUAGGGGAGCAAACGGG